rnacentral:rRNA from 1 species
GAUGAACGCUGGCGGCAUGCCUAAUACAUGCAAGUCGAACGAGAGGAAGGAAAGCUUGCUUUUCUGAAUCUAGUGGCGAACGGGUGAGUAACACGUAGGUAACCUGCCCAUGUGCCCGGGAUAACUUCUGGAAACGGAUGCUAAAACCGGAUAGGUAGCAGACAAGCAUUUGACUGCUAUUAAAGUGGCUAAGGCCAUGAACAUGGAUGGACCUGCGGUGCAUUAGCUAGUUGGUGAGGUAACGGCCCACCAAGGCGACGAUGCAUAGCCGGCCUGAGAGGGCGGACGGCCACAUUGGGACUGAGACACGGCCCAAACUCCUACGGGAGGCAGCAGUAGGGAAUUUUCGUCAAUGGGGGGAACCCUGAACGAGCAUGCCGCGUGAGUGAGGAAGGUCUUCGGAUCGUAAAGCUCUGUUGUAAGAGAAAAACGACAUUCAUAGGGAAUGAUGAGUGUGUGAUGGUAUCUUACCAGAAAGUCACGGCUAACUACGUGCCAGCCGCCGCGGUAA